rnacentral:rRNA from 1 species
UACAGAGGGGGCAAGCGUUAUUCGGAAUUAUUGGGCGUAAAGGGCGCGUAGGCGGCCUGGCAAGUGGAAGGUGAAAUCCCUCGGCUUAACCGAGGAACUGCCUUCCAAACUGCUUGGCUUGAGUCCGGGAGAGGUGAGUGGAAUUCCCAGUGUAGCGGUGAAAUGCGUAGAUAUUGGGAGGAACACCGGUGGCGAAGGCGGCUCACUGGACCGGAACUGACGCUGAUGCGCGAAAGCGUGGGGAGCAAACGGG